UACGGGGGGUGCAAGCGUUAAUCGGAAUUACUGGGCGUAAAGGGUGCGUAGGCGGUUUAUUAAGUUGCUUGUGAAAUUCCUGGGCUUAACCUAGGUGGACGGGUGAUACUGGUAGCUUGAGUAUAGGAGAGGGCAGUGGAAUUUCCGGUGUAGCGGUGAAAUGCGUAGAGAUCGAAAAGAACACCAACGGCGAAAGCACUCUGCUGGGCCGACACUGACAUGAGAGACGAAAGCUAGGGGGAGCGAAAUGGG
rnacentral:rRNA from 1 species